ensembl:lncRNA
UUACAAGUCAAACUAUAGUACAUAAUGCUAUGCAAUGUGACUGCUCCUGUUAUUAGAAGUACAAAACCUUCCUUCCUAAAACACAUGCUUGCAUAUGGGAAGAGGUUUUGUUUGGAGCAGAAGGAAAGCAUGUGGUAGGUGGAAAAAAAGAGAGAGGGAAUGUGGUACCUGGGAGGAGGAGACACCUGUUAGUGACAGCACAGUCUGGCAGACAGCUAAUUGUGAAAUUUGACUUUGUAUAGGCAAUUUAAGCUCUAGAACUAUGAGAGCAGCAAUGAGUUGUAGUGUGGAUGUGAUGCCUGAGACCAAACUGCUGCCUUGCCUGGGCCCUUCUACAUGACCAUUUACACUCACUGGAGAGUAAACCUGCAGGAGAACUUCAGAAUGGUGUAAGAGGAUGUAGGGAUAGCUGCUGCCACUUAAUUCUGUAUGUAUCUACUGUGCUGUGCCAGUGCCUGCUUGGUCUGAAACCUGCUUCUGGUUUGGUUGUUCUUUUAUUUCUUGGGAGAUUUCUUGGAGCCCCAAAUAAGGCUUACCUCACAUAUUUCUUGCAGCGGAAGAGAGAAGUAAUAUCCCAAAUAAUUACUUAGAAAAAAAAAAUAAUGGGAUUAUGUGAGAGAAUUACCGUAUGAAGCUACUUGGUGCAGGAGAGCUGUAAUGAAAUCUUGCAAUAAGGGACAUACCACUGACAUUUAGGUUUAUUGAUGAGUGACUCCUGCUCAAAAGCUUUCAAAGCCAUUAUCUGCUGCCUGCCACUCUGCCCUGUUUCAGUAGGACUGCAUCAAAAACCUUACUUUUAGAGCACUGUAAAGCAACUAAUGGAAAAAAAAAACAAGGGGAAAGAAUCUCACUUGAAAUGUGUCAUUAACAUAGAUGCAGAAAUGCCAAAGCCUCUGAAUAUGACACUGUGAGGACCCAUGCGUUGUGUGGAAGGGACAAUAGGUGUUCUUAGAACCAGACCACCAAUUGUGGAUUACCGCAGGUAUUUUACUGAGUGAGGAAGACAAGGAGCUAAACAGCUACCAUGUGCUCAGUAAAACACUGAUGUGGUGUUCUCACAGGAGGCAAAAUGCACCUGGUCCUCAAGGUCCUCUACCAGCUGAUUCAUUUGGAAAUGCAACACAGCAAAUAAGAGAGAACACACUUCAUCUAAACCCUGCAACAGCUAGAGCCAGAAGCCAAAUAUAUGCAGUAAAAGAAAUUCUUUGUACUUCUAUUGUGUCUUUCACCCAAAUAUUCCAAUGGAUGUCUACACCUCAUGCUCCUUUUCAUCUGCAAGUCCUGCUCUUGGUAUGUUAUCAUUUGCAUUUCCCUGUCCAAAAAAAAAAAAAAAAAAAUUCUGAAAAGUGGGAUGAGGCAAAAGUAAUCUGCACAGAGAUGGGAGAAGAUCUCUAUAAUUUCUGAGGCCUUCUCCAUCACUAAUUCCAAUGCUAUCUGUUUUAUAAGUGGGCCACAGAGGUGUUGAGGAUCUUGAUGUCUGCCUUCACAAACAGCUAGCACCUACUUUCAGUUGACUGCCGAUUAAAGCAAGUAGAUAAAAGCAGUAAAAGGCCAAUGUGAGUAAUGUAUUUUAUGAUUUACAUCAGUUUUUAGUUUACAUCAAAACUCCAUUUAGGGCAGAAAGAGGGAAGCUGAUCCAUUUGCUUUCUCUGUGUGUCAAUUUGGUUAUCAGCUUUCUAGUGACAUCCCCGGUCUGGUUCAGAGACUUUUCUUUCUGUUAUUCUUUGCCAAGUCUCUGCAGACUCUUCGAUGUUAAAUGAAGCUCAGAGAGGAUUAAUUAACAGGAUAUCAGAGUUCUGAUUGACUUUUUUUAGCAACUGAUGACCCAGCCUCUGCCAUUUGACCCUUCUGAAGACUCUUCAGAGGUUUUUCUGUCUGGCAUUUCACCAUUCCAGAUUUAGCAAGUUCCUUAUUGCCUUCUUAAGUGUAUAUAUAUAUAUAUAUAUAUUGUAUA